rnacentral:lncRNA from 1 species
UAAUAGAGACGGGGUUUUGCCAUGUUGGUCAGGUUGGUCUUGAACUCCUGACCUCAGGUGAUCUACCCGCCUUGGCGUCCCAAAGUAUGGGAUUACAGACGUGAGCCACCAUGUCCAGGCAAAAAAAUUUUCAUUUUAAAAAUAGAGAUGGGGUCUUGCUAUGUUGCCCAGGCUGGUCUUGAACUCCUGGGCUUAAGUGAUGCUCCCAUCUUGACCUCCCAAAGUGCUCGAAUCACAGGCAUGAGUCACUGUGCUUGGCCUGAUCAUGAGUUUGAAAAAUUCCCUGGGUGGAUCCAGGUGCUAGCUGGGCUGAGAACCACUGUUCUAGGGCUCUUGUUGAGACCUCAUCUGUUUCAGGACCCCCUGAGAUUCCUGCCCAUCUGUUCUCCUGCAGAAUAGUCCAACCUCCACCUCUGGCAUAGGGGAGACCAGACUGGGAUGGACUUGGGGUCUCCCUUGACCCUCUGUCCUGUCCUGAGCUAGUUUGUUGGACCAGAGAUGCUCUGGGUACCGCACCAGUUGGAGUAGGCAGGUGCAAGGCUACAUCUGGCAGGGUACAGCACAAGGAGAGGAACAAGGUCUCCUCUGGGGGUCCAGGAGACACUUCCAAGCUGCUCUUUGCUGAAAUGUUCAGCUGCUAAGCUGAAAAUAACUUCGGCAUUGCUGAGGAGGCUACCUGGGAUUCCCCUCCUGCCAGGAGGAGGGGAAGUAGGGGCCCUGGAAUCCCAGGGAAGCUGAUACCACCAGUCUGGGCUGUGUCACCAAGUCCCGGAGUACUGAGUGUCUGCCACCAGCUGUGCAAGAAAAGGGGUAGAGGACAGACCUAGUGACUCUCAGCCCCUUCACGAUCCACAGUGAUGAAGCUUGUCUAGCCCAGCUGUGCUUCAGUGAUGUAGGGCUUUACUGGAGAUGCUUCAGAGGGUGCAUUAUUUUCCUCCAGCUGUUGUAACAAAGGACCACAAACUGAGUGGGUAAAAACAACACAGAUUUAUUAUCUUCCAGUUCUGGGGAUCAGGAGUCCGGCACAGGUCUUAGUGGGCUGAAACCAAGGAAUUCUUUUCUGGAGACUUUGAAGGAGAAUCCAUUUUCUUGUCCUCUUCAGCUUUUACAGGCUGCCUGUAUCCUUGGCUCGGGGCCCCUUCUUCCAUCUGCAAUUCUAGCAACAGUGGUGUGAGGUUUUCUCACAUUACAUCACUCUUCUGCCUCCCGCUUCCACUUUUUUUUUUCUGUUAACUUCUCAUUCCAUAAAUAUUUGUUAGACAUCUACGUGGCGUCAGGCACUGUUGUAGGCACUUUGGAUCCAGCAUGAGUGAAACA